rnacentral:rRNA from 1 species
UUUGAACCGCAUGGUUCAAAAGUGAAAGACGGUCUUGCUGUCACUUAUAGAUGGAUCCGCGCUGCAUUAGCUAGUUGGUAAGGUAACGGCUUACCAAGGCAACGAUGCAUAGCCGACCUGAGAGGGUGAUCGGCCACACUGGAACUGAGACACGGUCCAGACUCCUACGGGAGGCAGCAGUAGGGAAUCUUCCGCAAUGGGCGAAAGCCUGACGGAGCAACGCCGCGUGAGUGAUGAAGGUCUUCGGAUCGUAAAACUCUGUUAUUAGGGAAGAACAUAUGUGUAAGUAACUGUGCACAUCUUGACGGUACCUAAUCAGAAAGCCACGGCUAACUACGUGCCAGCAGCCGCGGUAAUACGUAGGUGGCAAGCGUUAUCCGG